CUUGCCAGAGAUGGUCUAUUCGAAAGCGCGCGCUCCACUACCACGGUUCGGCGGCUGCCUGGGCGCCGAGUGGGGCAGCACACAGGGAGAUCCCGGGCUUGACGGGGGUUCUUGAAUCAUCGCGCUGGGAAGCCGAAGCGGCUGCAUCGCUGGACGGGAUCAUGUCGAAGGAGGAAGACCAGGAGGUGCUGAAAGUCCCCGAGGAGAUGUUCAAAGAUGUCAAGUUCUUCGUGGUGGGAGACAUCGACCCCAAGGUUAUUCAGCUUCUGAAAGAUGGGAAGGCAAAGGAAGUUUCCUAUAAUGCUCUAGCAUCACACAUCAUUUCAGAAGAUGGGGAUAAUCCAGAAGUUGGUGAAUCUCGUGAAGUGUUUGAUCUUCCAGUAGUAAAACCUUCCUGGGUGACUUUGUCAGUUCAGUGUGGAGCUCUUCUGCCAGUAAAUGGCUUUUCCCCAGAAUCCUGUCAGAUCUUUUUUGGAGUUGUUGCUUGUCUGUCUCAGGUUUCCUCUGAAGACCGGAAUAUGUUGUGGGCCUUGAUUACAUUUUAUGGUGGGGAUUGCCGUUUGAUCCUCAAUAAAAAAUGUACUCAUUUGAUUGUGCCUGAAGCAAAAGGGGAAAAAUACGAAUGUGCCAGUAAACGAGAGAACAUUAAAAUUGUGACACCUGACUGGAUUCUAGAUUCUAUAUCUGAUAAAACCAAAAAAGAUGAGGUUCCCUAUCACCCUCGCUUAAUAAUAUAUGAAGAAGAAGAGGAAGAGGAGGAGGAGGAAGAAGAAAAUGAAGAACAGGAUUCCCAAAAUGAAGGGAGCACUGAUGAAAAGUUAUCAAGUCCAUCAUCUUCUCGAGAAGGGUCUCCUUUGGGCAAUCGAACUUUUUCUCCUAAGUCUGUUGAUGCUGACAAAAACAAAGGGGAACUUAUGUUUGAUGAUUCAUCAGAUUCCUCUCCUGAAAAGCAUGAAAGAAAUUUGAACUGGACCACGGCUGAAGUUCCACAGACUGUUGCCAGAAAACACACAUUGACUCCAGGCAAGGACUCUGGAUUGAUUAAUUUGUGUGCCAAUGUCCCACCUGUCCCAGGCAAUAUUUUGUCCCCUGAUAUCAGAAGUAAUAUAAUGGCUUCAGUACAAACUCCCCAAAGUUCUGGACAUCCAGAAAUGAUGGCAACAUGGAGUCCUGCAGUCCGGACACUAAGAAAUAUUACCAAUAAUGCUGAUAUUCAGCAGGUUAAUAGACAAUCAAAUGUAGCACAUAUCUUGCAGUCACUUUCAGCACCUACAAAAACUUUGGAGCCACAGAUAAACCAUAGCCAACAGGGACACUCCAGUGCGGUCCUGCUUAGCCAGGUCAAGCUGACUCCGGAGCCACGCCUAGUGCAGCCACCUCCGCAGCAGCAUCACCAUCUCUUGCAUCUCCAAACCCAGCAGCUCCUGCAGUUGCAGCAGCAGUCCCAGCCACCACAGGCUCAGAUUCCCCAAUCGCCUUUCUCACAGCAGCCUCAUCAGUUUGCCCCUCAGCAACAAGUCCAUCAGCACCAGUUUCCGCAACAGCAGCAGCAGCAGCAGCUCCCCUUUCCUUCCCAACUGGUACAUUCCCAGCAACAAAUGCAUCGCCCUCCACAACCAAUGCCGUUUCAGCAGCAGCAGUUGCAUCGAUUGCAACAGCAGCACUUGCAGCAGCAGCAAUUGCAGCUUCAGCAGCAAAACCUUCAGCACCUGCAGCAACAGCAACUUCAGCAGCAACAACUUCAGCAGCAGCACUUACAACGAAUGCAGCAGCAGCAGCAGCAAAUGCAAAAUCAGACAUCACAACACUUGACUCCAACAUCUCAGACGCUACACCAUCAAGUUUCAAUUCAGGCACCACACAAUCCCCAGCAGCAACAAUUGCAGCAAUAUCAACUGUUUGGGCAUGACCCAUCUGUAGAAGUUCCUGAAGAAUAUUUCUUACUGGGUUGCGUCUUUGCAAUUGCUGAUUACCCUGAACACAUGUCUGAUAAACAACUGUUGGCAACUUGGAAAAGGGUAAUCCAGACUCAUGGUGGUACAGUUGAUCCUACACUUACAAGCCGAUGUACACAUCUUCUUUGUGAAAGUCAACUUAGUAAUAUGUAUGCACAGGCUUUGAAAGAAAGGAAAAGAUGCAUCACUGCCCACUGGCUGAAUUCUAUGUUAAAAAAGAAGAAAAUGGUACCACCCCAUCGAGCUCGUCAUUUUCCAGUAGCAUUUCCACCCGGAGGAAAACCAUGUUCUCAGCAUAUAAUUGCUGUAACAGGUUUUGUGGAUAAUGACAGAGUCGAUCUCAAGUUGAUGGCCUACCUAGCAGGAGCAAAAUAUACAGGCUAUCUUUGUCGCAGUAACACCAUUCUUAUAUGUAAAGCGCCAACUGGCAUAAAGUAUGAAAAGGCCAAAGAGUGGAGGAUACCUUGUGUCAAUACACAAUGGCUCUGUGAUAUCUUACUUGGAAAUUUUGAAGCUUUGCGGCAAAUGCAGCACAAUCGAUACACAGUUUUCAGUCUUCAGGAACCCUUUGCUCCUAAUCAGCAUCUAGUUCUAAAUCUUCUUGAUGCUUGGAGGGUUCCUUUAAAGGUGUCACCUGAACUUCAAAUGAACAUGAGAUUACCACUUAAACCAAAGCAGAAUGAAACCGUAAUUCAACCUUCAACCAAAAGGCCGAGAAUUGAAGACUUGCCAGCACCCACAAAAAAACUGCCACCAGAAUUGACUCCAAUGGUUCUUUUUACAGGAUUUGAGCCUGCUCAAGCACAUCAAUACAUUAAGAAAGUCUAUGUUCUUGGGGGUGACAUAGCAGAGACUGCACAGAAGUGUACUCACGUGAUAGCUAGUAAAGUGACCCGCACUGUAAAAUUCCUGACAGCAGUUUCAAUUGCAAAACAUAUUGUAACACCGGAAUGGUUGGAAGAAUGUUUCAAAUGUCAGAAAUUUAUAGAAGAACAAAACUACAUGCUCCGAGAUGCAGAGGCUGAAGUCCUUUUCUCUUUCAGUUUGGAAGAAUCUCUAAAAAGAGCGCAAGCGGCACCACUCUUUAAGGGGAAAUAUUUCUAUAUUACUCCGGGAAUUUGUCCUAGUCUGUAUACUAUGAAAUCGAUUGUGGAAUCUGCAGGUGGGAAGUUAUUAUCUAAACAACCUUCUUUCAGAACAGUUAUGGAACACAAACAAAAUAAGAGCUUGUCAGAGAUUAUCCUUAUCUCUUGUGAAAAUGAUCUACACUUAUGUCGAGAAUACUUUACCAGGAAAAUAGGAGGAACCUUGUGGGCACUGCAGGAUUUCAGUCCUUCACAGCGUAGUGUGUUACCAAUCGUUUUCUUGGUGAUUAUGGUUCCAGCUGUCUUGAGAUCAUUGACAAGAUCCUCCUGUGUAGUUCUGGGCUGAUUCCUCAGUGUUCUCAUGAUCAUUGAAACCCCACAAGAUGUUCACAGCGCAGAAUUUGUUCUGACAGGAGUUCUUACUCAAACACUGGAUUAUGAUUCAUAUAAAUUUACUUGACUGUAAGGAAAAUGCCUUAUUUUGCUUCAAAUUUUUUGAAGCCUUCCUCUGAGCUUUUCCAGCCUAUGGAUUAUUUAAUCAGGACUUUGUUGAAUUCUUGUUCUCUUAUUUUGCUGAAGAGCAAAGAACAGUUGAAGUAGGAAAGCAAAAGUUUACUGCAUCGGUUUAGGAUGUGUAACUUUUUAAUAUUAAACUAACUAUGUUUUUAUACUAUACUGUAGACCAGAGAGAUUACUUUUUAUAUUGCAAAAUAGUUUCCUGAUUUUUUUAAGUUUUAAUAAUCAGCAGUAUUCAACCAAAAUGAAAAUGUAAAGGAAAAAGGGCUUGUGGUGUGUUUAAAUUAAGGAAGUAAAUAUUUUGUACUUUAUUUUAUUAUGCUUAUAUUAAUACUAUCCCGUGUUUUAAAUAAACGUAGUUUUAAAUAAUGUUUCCUUAAAAUUUAGUGGUCUUCGUUUUUAAAUGUUGUGCAAUUAUAGCACUUUCUGGUAAAAGUAAACUACUGUGUUUUCUCAAAUGAUGUAAGAUAUUUCAUUUAUUUUACCAGAUGUGUUUGAAUAUUAAAAUCCAAGUAUUUUAAGCAGAGUUUAUUAAUGAUAUGUGUGUUCCUGCUGCAAUUAGAUUGAAUUCAUUCAUAUUCUGCAGUGAUAUAUUUUAUCUGUAAUUUUUAUGAAAUAAAUAUGCAAAAUGGAAUUUAUGGAUGCAGUUAUUUCAUCCAAGUUGAAUUGGACUUUAAAAUGUUAUUGUUAAUCUAUUGUUAAUUUAAUCCAUUUAAUUUUAAUUUGGAUAUUCAUCAUUUUAACAGUAAUUCAGAUAUAACUAUUUCAGCAGCGUUGCAUAAAUUCCAGUUAGCUGGCAAUUUUAUAUAGUUCUAAAAACUUUUAUUGAAUUGAUAAAAUGUAAAAAUCAUU